UACGUAGGGGGCGAGCGUUGUCCGGAUUUACUGGGCGUAAAGAGCGCGUAGGCGGAUGUUUAAGUGUGGCCUCAAAGCCCCCGGCUCAACCGGGGAUCUGGGUUGCAAACUGGGCAUCUUGAGGGGGAUAGAGGAGAGUGGAAUUCCUGGUGUAAGCGGUGAAAUGCGUAGAUAUCAGGAGGAACACCCGUGGCGAAGGCGGCUCUCUGGGUCCGCCCUGACGCUGAGGCGCGAAAGCGUGGGGAGCGAACGGG
rnacentral:rRNA from 1 species